rnacentral:pre_miRNA from 1 species
ACAACAUUCGGACCUUCGGUCUACCAAGCAAUGUUACCCGCUCGGUGAAAGAUCUUUCCUUUCGUUGU